CAUCUUCGCUAUUCUUUAUUGUGCGUUUGCUCUGAUAAACUGAAAAAAAGUGCAGACAAUCACUACAAUCACUGAACCUGAAGAGGGAAUAAAUGUAAGGCUUACUGCCUUCACUUACUUGUGGAUGAUGUUGUGGUCAUGACAAAUCAAUUCUGGGAGGGAUUGUGGUCUUAUAAUAGCACUGUCUGUUUCACUGGAUUGACAGCAAAGCAAGUGCUGCUGAUGACUCAUGGUUGCACUUCCCCAAGAGGGUUUAGCUUUGUAAACUCCCUGAUGUGUUUUUUUCUUCUUCUUCUUCCUUUCUAAAGCUUUCAUCAGUGGGUGAAGAUGUUGACAUAAUAGGAUUCCCCUCUCCGGUUUAAUCAGUGCGCUCAUCAUGCUAAGUCCUAAUUGGACAACUGUCAAACAGCCAGGGGCUUCACUCUACAUAAUCACAGAAGUUUUUAACUGAUGUGAGCAUUCAGUGUGACGGAGAUGUCAUGUUCGGUUCAUUUUUGCUGGAAGCAUCCCUGUGGGAAGAAGCGACUGAGGAGCUGGAACAUAAAAGGAGAGUGAGAACCACAACCCUGUGGCUCCACCUAGUGUCUCACUGCCUCUCUGCAUGCACGUCCACAUAGAUCCUUUUGCAAAGGAUUGUUACAGAGUUGCACAUCCUUAAAAAAGUCCCCGGAAACAAUGGUACAAUAUAUAAAAGCACUAGUCCCAGUGAAUCAAUUACAGUUAAUUUAUUUCAGGAUAUUUUAAUCAGGAGAUUUACUUAAGUAAAAGUAUACAAGAUAAAAACAAGCUGAAGGAAAAACCAUUUUUAAUUAUAAUAGAGUGAGAAAUAUUCACGUUAAUUACAAAUCAUUGUUAUUAAUAUUAAUUAAUUAUCUAGAAAAUUUCACCCCUGUUAUUAAAGAGCCCUCAAAGUCACAUUCUAAUAAUAUUCAUAUGAACAGAAGAUGGAUAGUGUUUAUUUUCACACCAAAUGUAAGGCAGGUUUGCCAACUCUCUCCGUGUCACAAUCUUUUGUCUUCUUACACUGCUGAAAUAAAUCUCACACUGAGUUAAAUAAAUAAAUAAAAAAAAAUAAUAUUAAUAAAUGAUUAAAGCCAGUCCAUAAUGAAUUAAUGUUUGGGUCAAAAGGCAUAUUUUAGUCUUAGCAUCAGACACAAUAGACACCAGAUAAUAAAAAAAAACUCAACUAAACUAAAAAAUUAUUUUUAAUUAAAUGUAAUUAAUUAAAUUAAAGACGCCUGAUUUGCCAGUGCUGGCACAGCCCUGCCUGCGAAAGGCUGUUUAAUGAGACUCACCAGUGACUGUAGCCUAAUCCUAGUUUGACAAAAUGUUACCCUGAGGUGUUUUUGUUGCAUCCAGCUGUUUGACUUUAUUAGAAGUCUUUAUUAACACUCACACAGUUGGGACCCCUGCUGUUCGUCUGCAAAGGAAGGCAGUUGCAGCCAUCUUUGCAUGUGAAAUACUCAAUCGAUUAUUCCCCACACAACGAAACAGCGUCAGUCAGAACCCAGCGGUGACUCAUAAUCUAAUUUCCUGCAGCAGAGACAGGUGAACCGUUGCACGCACUGUUUUUUGGCCUCAGCUUGAGUGCUAAGUCUAAUCAGAGUUUAUUCUUUAAUCAGUUUUUCUGUCAAAUUGCAAAGCAACUAUUUGUUUGCAACAGUGCAAAUGUUUUCCCAUAACUAUAGUGUGCUCUAUAAUCAUUAGUAUUUAAAUUAAAUGGUCUUUACUAGGCUUAAGGAAAAUAUAAUAUUAUAUAAUUUGUAUAAUAUAUACAAAUAUGUAAGACAAUGAAAACAAUGAAAAUACAUUUUGUUAUAAUACAGGCUGCUGUAGUUGGAUGAAUUAUAACACAUGUACAGAAUUCUUAGUGUAGCAAGUCAUUAAUUAACAAUUUCAAGAUCAACACAGGAUACUUGAGGCAUGGAUAAACUGUUGGGGGUGUUUAGUAUUAUUGUGGUGGGUGGAUUGGAUUCCACAGAGCUGUAGUACCUACAGAGGGAUAAAGCUGAUGAGCCGUACUGUGGAGAUAUGGGAAAAAUGUGACAAUUAGCGAGCAGCAGCAUGGCUUCACGCUGAGAAAGAGCACUACAGAAGAUUUGUGACAGAAGGAUAGCAGAAAGAGUGAAAGGAAAGGUUUACAAGAUGGUAGUGAUGUAUGGAUUGGAGAUGGUAACACUGACAAAAAGACAUGAGGCAAAGUCAGAGCAACCAGGAUGGUCGAGAUUAGACAGAAUAUCUCAGAGGGACAACUCAGGUUGAGAAGUCUGGACAUGCAGAGAGGCCGAAUAGCAUUGGACAAAUGGGGGAUGACAUCAUUUUUUAUGAUGUCAUCACCCAGGGAAAAUGGGUAAGUGACGCAAUGUUUUCAUUACAUCUUAAAUAAUAAUAAGCGAUGUGAAAUUCCCUUUACUGGGACAGUGAAGGGAAUUUUUGUCGUGUGGUUUCUAGUUCAUGGAACUGUUGGAUUUUCCUGAACGCCAUUUUCCUCUCAUCUGAGGGGAAUCCACACUUGACCCUGUGUGGAUUAGAGAAAAUCCAACUUGCACACCCAGUUCUUGUUUUAAACUAAUUUCCCCUGGAAAAAGAACUGUUGAAAGAAAUUAUUAAAAGCUCCAAAUUGCCACGACAUUCAUGCUCAACACGAGUGUAUGUAAACUGCUGCUUGGGAUUACUUUGGACCAAAGAAGAUGAAAUAACUUCAUUUAUUUUCAAUAAUAUUUUAUAGAUGAGGUGACAUAAUGUGUUUCUCUUCGCCUUGUCAGAGUCCUUCCAAGUGGUGGUGAGAGGAAGUGGAUUCCUUCACGCCCGAAAUGUUGACAAAGUGCUGUGCAGCUUUCGAAUCAACGACACCCUAACUAAGAGCUUUGGGAGUUUGAAUUAAAAGACUUUGAAGGAGACGACGCCAAACCUCUUCUGAAACUGGUAUGGGCAGUGAACAAUAUUAAUAAAAUAAGGGACAUAGCCCGGAUGCUCCUUAAAUUUCCAGAGGCUAUACCUCCUUAAUUUCAGUGGGUCACAUCUGACAUACAAUUAACAGUCCAGCUAAAGUCUUGAAAUAUUUCUGUGGUGCUUUAAAUAUGUUUAAAAGAUAUUUAAAUAGCCUUAUUCUACAGAACACUUAAACUCCUCAGCAUGAUGAACGAUUCCGUUUAAAUUCUUAAAGACAAGAACCAGGAAGUUCUACUUAACAACAUUGCAAACUUUGCACCAGUGCUGCUCAAGACGAUUGCUGGUGUAGCAAAGAAUCACGUAUCCAAUAUCUUUAAGCCCCCUUCAAGUCUUCCAAUGUUUGAUGUUCUUCCAAAUGAAGAACCUCCUUCAGACAGUCCUUCAACGCCCGAUGUUCCACCAGUUGAUAAACUUCCCUCUGAAAAUGUGCCAGUGUUGAAUGUUCUUCCCAGUGAGGAACUCCUUUCUGAAAGUUUGCCAGUGCCUAAUGUUCCCUGUGAGGAACUUUCUGCUGAAACUGCAUCCAUGUCUGAGACAGCUGAGACAGAGGAGUCUGAAGACCUUAAAAUCAAACAGAAGACAAAAAAAGGCUUCUUCCAAAAAUUAAAAAUUCUGUGCAGUUGCUGUGUCAGACCGAAAGAAACUGACUGACAGAGAAACUGAAAUCAAAUUAAAAAAUAUAAUUAAUUAAAAAUAAUAUUUUUUG
ensembl:lncRNA